GCAAGGUUGCAUCCAUUAACUACCAGUACUUUGACAGUAAAAAUAGCGAGCAGAGAAGUAAAGUCGUCAACUCGCCGAUAAAUGAUUUAUAAGUUUGCAGGGGUACCUUUUAAGGCCCGUCUGCACACAACUUUUGAGACCCGAUGGCGUUCGUAUCGCUUUGGCGCAACGCCAAAAAUGUGUGCGUGAUAUAUUUAACGUUUUUGUGCGAAAACUUUAAGCAGAAAAAUAGAUUGUCAACGUACGCGACAAGAUGACAGUUGUCCAAGGCGAAUUGAGAUCUUAGGUAGCGUUAGUGCCCAUUUACACGAUGUCUCCUCUGGAAGGUAAACAUUUUGUUCGCGGGUGAAGGACGGCCGCGGAAGAGAGAAGGGAAUUUGUCUCCUGUACUGGCGACACGCUUUGUGCUUCUUAUUCGUAUUUCCAAUCUUAAAGCAAACUGUCAAAGUUGCUUCAUUCGUUUUCUUCUUUCGUGGAAGAAAGUUCUAAGUUAUGUGUUGGUUUUCAAGCAAACGGAAGAUAACAACGAUGACAAACAUACGAACGCUGCUUGGGAAAUGCACAAUUAUUUUUGCUAGUAAAGUAGUAUAAUUUAAAAUAGUUAUGGGACAUGUUUAUGUUGAUUUAUAAUUUUUUCCUGCAUUUCUAGAAACUCAGU